rnacentral:rRNA from 1 species
AAAUUGAAGAGUUUGAUCAUGGCUCAGAUUGAACGCUGGCGGCAGGCCUAACACAUGCAAGUCGAACGGUAGCACAGAGAGCUUGCUCUCGGGUGACGAGUGGCGGACGGGUGAGUAAUGUCUGGGAAACUGCCUGAUGGAGGGGGAUAACUACUGGAAACGGUGGCUAAUACCGCAUAACGUCGCAAGACCAAAGAGGGGGACCUUCGGGCCUCUUGCCAUCAGAUGUGCCCAGAUGGGAUUAGCUAGUUGGUGAGGUAACGGCUCACCAAGGCGACGAUCCCUAGCUGGUCUGAGAGGAUGACCAGCCACACUGGAACUGAGACACGGUCCAGACUCCUACGGGAGGCAGCAGUGGGGAAUAUUGCACAAUGGGCGCAAGCCUGAUGCAGCCAUGCCG